CCUGUUCCCAUGCCGAACACAGCAGUUAAGCUUCUUAGCGCCGAUGGUAGUGAAGGGUUUCCCUUUGUGAGAGUAGGACGCUGCCACGC
rnacentral:rRNA from 1 species